AAGACACUAUACAUGUCUAGAUUUCUUUACACCACUCCAUAUGAUCCAAUUUCUUGAUAAACUUUUGGUGCAAAUUUGUCGAAACCUUACCAGCUAGCCACAUAUGGGACAACACGGUUUUAGGCCUUGUAGCUUUUAGUCUACUUUCAAUAGAAAAAUGGCUUAGCACAGACACCAAAUGAACCUUUUCAGUAUCAAGUUCAUUACCCUUCCUUAGGCCUGAUUUCAAUCCCUUCAACAACCAAGCCACUUUUCCAGUUACCUUCCUUCACCUCUGUCAAGCUUAUCUCGAGUUCAACGUCUUGCCCUCUCUUGACAAAGAAUUCUCCCAACUCGACUUCUAUCCAUCCGUCACUUCUCUGUUGUGGGUAUCGUGCUUGUGCAUCGUUUUCUGGAGGAGGAGGAUUCACUCCUCCUCUCAGCAUAUCAGCCAUCUGGCUAAGCAGUCCCGAUCUUCUUGGAACGAUUUGGUACAUGUGCCUACGUGCUGCCUCUGGAUCCAAGAAUACUGUCUGCGGUUUCCUUUCAUGCCCUGAAAUCCCUACUGCACCCUCUGCACUUUGGUGAUCAAAACCGUAGGUCCUGGAUUUCGUUGUGAACACAAAGUAGGCUGCGUAGUUGGUGUCAGGGGAUAGCAUAGAGGUGUUUAUCUUGCCAGAAAUAUCAAACCAGCACACGUCAAGAAGCUCAGCAACCUCUGGGAACCUGGACUCAGGAAGGGGGAUCCAUCUCCAAUACCGUGGUGUGUCAGCCCAAAUAAUUGCUAGCGACCUCGCAGCUAACAUGUAGCAUUUCUUUCCACUCUGCUUCUCCAAUGAGAAGCUCUUAGUCCCACCGUCGAUGAAGAAAGGAUGAUCACAUAGAUAGAGAUAAAGCUCUUUCUUAGAACCGACAUUGAACGAUUCCGGUCCAUCACUAGACCGGGAAAUAAUAUCACGGUAAUCCGACGGCAAAAACCGGUCCCAAACGGCGUCAGAUUCACCAGCCGACCGGAAAACCGUACCGACCACCGAUAACCUACUCGCAUCUCUCGGACUCGUCAAUGAUAGUACGUUGGCUAUGCAACCUUCCGGCAGGUGGCAGAUAUCACCACCGCCACCACCGGAGCUACGUCCAAUUUCCACCGCCAUUGUGAUUUACUUAAUUUUUUCUUCUAAUUUGUAUUUAUAGAAAAAAAUUAUAUCCAAA
rnacentral:misc_RNA from 1 species